rnacentral:rRNA from 1 species
GAUGAACGCUGGCGGCGUGCCUAAUACAUGCAAGUCGAACGGAGAUUGUAGCAAUACGGUCUUAGUGGCGAACGGGUGAGUAACGCGUUGGUGACCUGCCCCGAAGAGCGGGAUAAUGGUCCGAAAGGACCACUAACUACCGCAUGUGAUCCCAAGGAUUAGCAGCUUGGGAUGAAAGGAAGCAAUUCGCUUCGGGAGGGGCCUGCGUCCCAUCAGCUAGUUGGUAAGGUAACGGCUUACCAAGGCGAUGACGGGUAGGGGACCUGAGAGGGUGGCCCCCCACAAUGGAACUGAAACACGGUCCAUACACCUACGGGUGGCAGCAGUAGGGAAUAUUGGUUAAUGUGCGAAAGCGCGAACCAGCAACGCCGCGUGUGCGAUGAAGGCCUU